rnacentral:rRNA from 1 species
GAUGAACGCUGGCGGCGUGCCUAACACAUGCAAGUCGAACGAAGCACUUUAGUGGAUUUCCUUCGGGACUGAUCAUUUUGUGACUGAGUGGCGGACGGGUGAGUAACGUGUGGGUAACCUGUCUUGUACAGGGGGAUAACAGUUGGAAACGGCUGCUAAUACCGCAUAAGCGCACGGCAUCGCAUGAUGCAGUGUGAAAAACUCCGGUGGGAUAAGAUGGACCCGCGUUGGAUGAGCUAGUGGGUGGGGUAACGGCCCACCAAGGCGACGAUCCAUAGCCGGCCUGGAGGCGUGCCCGGCCACCUUGGGACUGGGACACGGCCCGAACUCCUACGGAGGGCAGCAGGGGGGAAUAUUGCACAAUGGGCGAAAGCCUAAUGCAGCGGGGCCGCGUAAGCGAGGAAGUAUUUCGGUAUGUAAGGCUCUAUCAGCAGGGACGUUAUGACCGGUACCGGACUAAGAGGCACCGGCAACUUCCGU